rnacentral:rRNA from 1 species
CGGGGGGGCAAGCGUUGUUCGGAAUUACUGGGCGUAAAGGGCUCGUAGGCGGCCAACUAAGUCAGACGUGAAAUCCCCAGGCUCAACCUGGGAACUGCGUCUGAUACUGGUUGGCUUGAAUUCGGGAGAGGGAUGCAGAAUUCCAGGUGUAGCGGUGAAAUGCGUAGAUAUCUGGAGGAAUACCGGUGGCGAAGGCGGCAUCCUGGACCGACAUUGACGCUGAGGAGCGAAAGCUAGGGGAGCAAACGGGAUUAGAUACCCCGGUAGUCCUAGCCCUAAACGAUGAAUGCUUGGUGUGACGGGUAUCGAUCCCUGUCGUGCCGAAGCUAACGCAUUAAGCAUUCCGCCUGGGGAGUACGGUCGCAAGGCUG